UCUGAGGAACUACAAAACACAAAGUGGCAAACUGAUUGAAAUUAUUGUAAAACAGAAUUAGUAGACAUCUGGAUAAAUUAAAAAAAAAAGAAAGAAAGAAAGAAAAGAAUCAACAUGAACUGAACACUGAGAAUGAAAACUGUGUGACAAGUGUAGAGAGCAUGAAUGUAAAAUGUUUGGACUUGUAAAAUGCUUUGUGCGAAGUACCUUACUGAAAGCUCUUGAAGAAGCUAAACUAUCUGACGGUGGGAAGAUCAUCCAUGGUAUAGCAACUGAUCAAGAGAUCCAAGUAAAUGAUCAGUUUUUACAAAUAAUGAAGAAAAUACUCAAUGAGGUCCCCCUGGAUCUACAGAGACCCAAAUGCAGCUGUACAAACUAUUCACAAAUGACCAUGAAAAGGAAGUAAAUACUGAGGCAGGAAAGCUUUCAAAACAUAAAAAUCUACACAGCAAUAUCACAACUGUGGCAGAUAGGAAGGAAAAGAAGAAAGUUUUAGCCAGUGCUGAGCAGCUAGAAAAUAAAAUCUAUGGAGGCUUCCUGAAGGGAAAAUACAAAACAGAGAACUUAAAAUUGUUGAUAAUCACAAAAGGGAUUUGAGAGCUAUUUGUACAGAAAAUUCCAUCAUCUGUGACAAGAGGAGACAAAUUGAAUAUUACAACUAUUAUCUUAUGAGUAGAGAACAAACCAGGAAAACAUGGUGAUGCUGUUUCAGAAAUCUCAAAUAGGUGAAUUUGUGGUCAUUCAUUUCGAAGACUAAAGGAGUACCAUUAGAGAAAACACAGAGAAGGUGAAUGACAGUUAUCAAAAACAAGUAAUGGUUUCCAUACAAGAGAAGUGGAAUAAAACAUGCCUUGUUUCAAAAGACAUUAUUAAAGGUAAACUACAGACUUCCAUCUGAAGGGAGAGGAGAUAAUUUAUUCAGUGAAGACAUUUAUAAUGCAGAUCCUGGCAAACUACAUUAUCCUAAGGAUGUAAAAAUUCUUAAACUUUAUAAAAAGUGUGCUAACAAGUCGUCUCAAGCUGAAUGAGCUGUACCCUGGCUGAGAAAAUGUCUUCAUUGUCAGCUUUCUCAGACUGUAUAGAGAAGUUACUGAAGUCAAUGACAGGACAGCCUGGGAAGUCAGAUAAGGUAAAUUUGAUGUUAUAG